rnacentral:rRNA from 1 species
AUUGAACGCUGGCGGCAUGCUUUACACAUGCAAGUCGAACGGUAACAGGGAGCUUGCUCCGCUGACGAGUGGCGAACGGGUGAGUAAUGCAUCGGAACGUACCGUGUAAUGGGGGAUAACGUAGCGAAAGUUACGCUAAUACCGCAUACGCCCUGAGGGGGAAAGUGGGGGACCGCAAGGCCUCACGUUAUACGAGCGGCCGAUGUCGGAUUAGCUAGUUGGAGGGGUAAAGGCCUACCAAGGCGACGAUCCGUAGCGGGUCUGAGAGGAUGAUCCGCCACACUGGGACUGAGACACGGCCCAGACUCCUACGGGAGGCAGCAGUGGGGAAUUUUGGACAAUGGGCGCAAGCCUGAUCCAGCCAUGCCGCGUGAGUGAAGAAGGCCUUGGUGUAAGACUCUUCAGGUGGAAGAAAUACGCACUUUUAAUUACAAGUAGUGGAUGACGGUACC